rnacentral:rRNA from 1 species
CCUACGGGCGGCAGCAGUGAGGAAUAUUGGUCAAUGGACGCAAGUCUGAACCAGCCAAGUAGCGUGCAGGAUGACGGCCCUCCGGGUUGUAAACUGCUUUUAGUUGGGAAUAAAAGGGGGCUCGUGAGCCCCGUAUUGUAUGUACCAUCAGAAAAAGGACCGGCUAAUUCCGUGCCAGCAGCCGCGGUAAUACGGAGGGUCCGGGCGUUAUCCGGGUUUAUUGGGUUUAAAGGGAGCGUAGGCCGGCUUUUAAGUCAGCUGUGAAAGUCCGCGGCUCAACCGUGGAAUUGCAGUUGAUACUGGAGGCCGUGAGUGCACACAGGGAUGCCGGAAUUCAUGGUGUAGCGGUGAAAUGCUUAGAUAUCAUGAAGAACUCCGAUCGCGAAGGCAAGUGUCCGGGGUGCAACUGACGCUGAGGCUCGAAAGUGCGGGUAUCAAACAGGAUUAGAUACCCGAGUAGUC